rnacentral:rRNA from 1 species
UGCCAGCAGCCGCGGUAAUACGGAGGGGGCGAGCGUUAUUCGGAAUUAUUGGGCGUAAAGGGCGCGUAGGCGGCUUUUUAAGUCAGAUGUGAAAGUCCACAGCUCAACCGUGGAAGUGCAUUUGAAACUGGGAGGCUUGAGUAUUGGAGGGGGUGGUGGAAUUCCCGGUGUAGAGGUGAAAUUCGUAGAUAUCGGGAGGAAUACCGGUGGCGAAGGCGACCACCUGGUACAGUAUUGACGCUGAGAUGCGAAAGCGUGGGGAGCAAACAGGAUUAGAUA